UACAGAGGUCUCGAGCGUUGUUCGGAUUCAUUGGGCGUAAAGGGUGCGUAGGUGGCGUGGUAAGUCUGGUGUGAAAUCCCGGGGCUCAACCCCGGAACUGCACUGGAUACUGCCAUGCUUGAGUACUGGAGAGGAGAUUGGAAUUUACGGCGUAGCAGUGAAAUGCGUAGAUAUCGUAAGGAAGACCAGUGGCGAAGGCGAAUCUCUGGACAGUUACUGACACUGAGGCACGAAGGCCAGGGGAGCAAACGGG
rnacentral:rRNA from 1 species